GGAAUAUUGGGCAAUGGGCGCAAGCCUGACCCAGCAACGCCGCGUGAAGGAAGAAGGCUUUCGGGUUGUAAACUUCUUUUGUCAGGGACGAAGCAAGUGACGGUACCUGACGAAUAAGCCACGGCUAACUACGUGCCAGCAGCCGCGGUAAUACGAAGGUGGCAAGCGUUAUCCGGAUUUACUGGGUGUAAAGGGCGUGUAGGCGGGGAAGCAAGUCAGAUGUGAAAACCACGGGCUCAACCUGUGGCCUGCAUUUGAAACUGUUUUUCGUGAGUGCUGGAGAGGCAAUCGGAAUUCCGUGUGUAGCGGUGAAAUGCGUAGAUAUACGGAGGAACACCAGUGGCGAAGGCGGAUUGCUGGACAGUAACUGACGCUGGGGCGCGAAAGCGUGGGGAGCAAAC
rnacentral:rRNA from 1 species